rnacentral:lncRNA from 1 species
UGGACUGAAUUUUGGUGGUUUAUUUUUUUUCACGAGCUUCGGAAUGUGACCUUUUGUGCUUCUAAUUGUCGACGUGCUCUUUGUGCUUCUCGUCAGACUUCUCUCCGUCAAUCGUUAAUAUCAUCUUUGUGUCUUUCCUCGUCAUCGCUUGGCUACAUUUUUUUCUGCGCGACAGAAGGCGUGCUACUGUCCAUACUAUAGUAAUCAU